rnacentral:lncRNA from 1 species
GGGACUUCUCUCUCUGCAAGCAUAGCCUCAAAGCACCUCUGAUGGAUGGCUCCCAAGACAUUUCAUUGCUUGAAGUUCAGCAAGUUUGAAUUACCCUCUAGACAUCAACAUUAACUUCACAGGGUAGACCCUUAUCCUGUCUGACUGGCACCCUUAUAACAGGAUAUCUGAACACACAAGAGAGACCAGGGAUAUUCACACACAGAGGAAAGACCGUGUGAGAACAUGGUGAGAAGGCAGCCAUCUGCAAGCCAAAGAGAGAGGCCUCAGGAGAAACCAAUGCUGCCAACGCCUUGACCUUGGCCUUCCAGCCUCCAGAACUGUGAGAAAAUAAAUUUCUGUUGCGUAAGCCCCCCAGUCUGUAGUAUUUUGUUACGGC